CAAUAGCGUAUAUUAAAGUUGUUGCGGUUAAAAAGCUCGUAGUUGGAUCUCGGCGGGCAGGGGGUGGUUCGCUCUUAGCGCUACUGCCCCAUUUGCCUGUGUGAUUGGCGGAGGUUUCGGGGUGCUCUUCGUUGAGUGACCCGGGGCGCCGUCAGGUUUACUUUGAAAAAAUUAGAGUGCUCAAAGCAGGCUUUUCACGCUUGAAUAUUCGUGCAUGGAAUAAUGGAAUAGGAACUCGUUUCUAUUUUGUUGGUUUUCGGAAAUCGAGUUAAUGAUUAAUAGGGACAAUUGGGGGCAUUAGUAUUCAGACGACAGAGGUGAAAUUCUUGGACCGUCUGAAGACUAACUACUGCGAAAGCAUUUGCCAAGAGUGUUUUCAUUAA
rnacentral:rRNA from 1 species